CCCAUAGAUUUAUUCCUGACACCACUUGGAGUGAAAUAGUUAAGGUACCACUGUUUUGGGUUCUGAAACCCUGGUAACACCACCACUCAGUGUUUA